rnacentral:rRNA from 1 species
ACGUAGGGGGCAAGCGUUGCUCGGAAUUACUGGGCGUAAAGGGUGUGUAGGUGGCUGAUUAAGUUAAGGAUGAAAUCCCGCGGCCCAACUUCGGAACUGCUCAGGAUACUGGUCGGAUUGAGUCUAGAAAAGGAGAGCGGAAUUUCCAGUGGAGGGGUGAAAGCCGUAGAUAUCGGGAGGAACGCCAGAGGCGAAGGCGGCUGUCUAGGCUAGUCCUGACACUGAGACUCGAAAGCUAGGGGAGCAAACAG